AACGAACGCUGGCGGCAUGCCUAACACAUGCAAGUCGAACGAGACCUUCGGGUCUACUGGCGCACGGGUGCGUAACGCGUGGGAACCUGCCCUUAGGUUCGGAAUAACUCCCCGAAAGGGGUGCUAAUACCGGAUAAUGUCUUCGGACCAAAGAUUUAUCGCCUUUGGAUGGGCCCGCGUUGGAUUAGCUAGUUGGUAGGGUAAAAGCCUACCAAGGCGACGAUCCAUAGCUGGUCUGAGAGGAUGAUCAGCCACACUGGGACUGAGACACGGCCCAGACUCCUACGGGAGGAAGCAGUGGGGAAUAUUGGACAAUGGGCGAAAGCCUGAUCCAGCAAUGCCGCGUGAGUGAUGAAGGCCUUAGGGUUGUAAAGCUCUUUUACCCGGGAUGAUAAUGACAGUACCGGGAGAAUAAGCGCCGGCUAACUCCGUG
rnacentral:rRNA from 1 species